UAAGUUGGUAGUGAAAGCGUUCGGCUCAACCGAAUACACAUUAUCAAAACUGCCAAGCUAGAGGACGAGAGAGGUUAUUGGAAUUCCUAGUGUAGGAGUGAAAUCCGUAGAUAUUAGGAGGAACACCGAUAGCGUAGGCAGAUAACUGGCUCGUUCCUGACACUAAGGCACGAAAGCAUGGGUAGCAAACGGGAUUAGAUACCCCGGUAGUCCAUGCCGUAAACGAUGGAUGCUA
rnacentral:rRNA from 1 species